rnacentral:piRNA from 1 species
UUCCAGAGGUGAGCCUAAAAUGAGCCCUUGU